AGAGUUUGAUCAUGGCUCAGGAUAAACGCUGGCGGCGUGCUUAAUGCAUGCAAGUCGAACGGUCCUUCGGGACAGUGGCAAACGGGUGAGUAACGCGUAAGUAACCUACCCCUAAGUAAGGGAUAACUCUGAGAAAUUAGAGCUAAUACCUUAUGUGGUGGUGCCGGUAAGGCGGCACCAUUAAAGCCUUCGGGUGCUUGGGGAGGGGCUUGCGUCCGAUUAGUUAGUUGGUGGGGUAACGGCUUACCAAGGCGAUGAUCGGUAGCUGGUCUGAGAGGAUGGUCAGCCAGAUAGGGACUGAGAUACGGCCCUAACUCCUACGGGAGGCAGC
rnacentral:rRNA from 1 species